rnacentral:rRNA from 1 species
CGGCGUGCUUAACACAUGCAAGUCGAACGGGAUCCCGGGUUUCGGCCUGGGUGAGAGUGGCGAACGGGUGAGUAAUGCGUGACCGACCUGCCCUGUACACCGGAAUAGCUCCUGGAAACGGGUGGUAAUGCCGGAUGCUCCAACAUGCUGCAUGGUGUGUUGGGAAAGAUUUAUCGGUAUGGGAUGGGGUCGCGUCCUAUCAGGUAGUCGGCGGGGUAACGGCCCACCGAGCCUACGACGGGUAGCCGGCCUGAGAGGGCGACCGGCCACAUUGGGACUGAGAUACGGCCCAGACUCCUACGGGAGGCAGCAGUGGGGAAUAUUGCACAAUGGGCGCAAGCCUGAUGCAGCGACGCCGCGUGCGGGAUGACGGCCUUCGGGUUGUAAACCGCUUUUGAUUGGGAGCAAGCGUGAGUGAGUGUACCUUUCGAAUAAGCACCGGCUAACUACGUGCCAGCAGCCGCGGUAAUACGUAGGGUGCAAGCGUUAUCCGGAAUUAUUGGGCGUAAAGAGCUCGUAGGCGGUUCGUCGCGUCUGGUGUGAAAGUCCAUCGCUUAACGGUGGAUCUGCGCCGGGUACGGGCGGGCUGGAGUGCGGUAGGGGAGACUGGAAUUCCCGGUGUAACGGUGGAAUGUGUAGAUAUCGGGAAGAACACCAAUGGCGAAGGCAGGUCUCUGGGCCGUUACUGACGCUGAGGAGCGAAAGCGUGGGGAGCGAACAGGAUUAGAUACCCUGGUAGUCCACGCCGUAAACGGUGGAUGCUGGAUGUGGGGCCCUUUCCACGGGUCCCGUGUCGGAGCUAACGCGUUAAGCAUCCCGCCUGGGGAGUACGGCCGCAAGGCUAAAACUCAAAGAAAUUGACGGGGGCCCGCACAAGCGGCGGAGCAUGCGGAUUAAUUCGAUGCAACGCGAAGAACCUUACCUGGGCUUGACAUGUUCCCGACGACGGCAGAGAUGUCGUUUCCCUUCGGGGCGGGUUCACAGGUGGUGCAUGGUCGUCGUCAGCUCGUGUCGUGAGAUGUUGGGUUAAGUCCCGCAACGAGCGCAACCCUCGCCCCGUGUUGCCAGCAUGUAAUGAUGGGAACUCACGGGGGACCGCCGGGGUUAACUCGGAGGAGGGUGGGGAUGAC